rnacentral:rRNA from 1 species
UACGAAGGGGGCUAGCGUUGCUCGGAAUCACUGGGCGUAAAGGGUGCGUAGGCGGGUCUUUAAGUCAGGGGUGAAAUCCUGGAGCUCAACUCCAGAACUGCCUUUGAUACUGAAGAUCUUGAGUUCGGGAGAGGUGAGUGGAACUGCGAGUGUAGAGGUGAAAUUCGUAGAUAUUCGCAAGAACACCAGUGGCGAAGGCGGCUCACUGGCCCGAUACUGACGCUGAGGCACGAAAGCGUGGGGAGCAACAGGGAUUAAGAUA